UCGAACGAUGAACCACUUCGGUGGGGAUUAGUGGCGAACGGGUGAGUAACACGUGGGCAAUCUGCCCUUCACUCUGGGACAAGCCCUGGAAACGGGGUCUAAUACCGGAUACCACUACCGCAGGCAUCUGUGGUGGUUGAAAGCUCCGGCGGUGAAGGAUGAGCCCGCGGCCUAUCAGCUUGUUGGUGAGGUAAUGGCUCACCAAGGCGACGACGGGUAGCCGGCCUGAGAGGGCGACCGGCCACACUGGGACUGAGACACGGCCCAGACUCCUACGGGAGGCAGCAGUGGGGAAUAUUGCACAAUGGGCGAAAGCCUGAUGCAGCGACGCCGCGUGAGGGAUGACGGCCUUCGGGUUGUAAACCUCUUUCAGCAGGGAAGAAGCGAAAGUGACGGUACCUGCAGAAGAAGCGCCGGCUAACUACGUGCCAGCAGCCGCGGUAAUACGUAGGGCGCAAGCGUUGUCCGGAAUUAUUGGGCGUAAAGAGCUCGUAGGCGGCUUGUCACGUCGGGUGUGAAAGCCCGGGGCUUAACCCCGGGUCUGCAUUCGAUACGGGCUAGCUAGAGUGUGGUAGGGGAGAUCGGAAUUCCUGGUGUAGCGGUGAAAUGCGCAGAUAUCAGGAGGAACACCGGUGGCGAAGGCGGAUCUCUGGGCCAUUACUGACGCUGAGGAGCGAAAGCGUGGGGAGCGAACAGGAUUAGAUACCCUGGUAGUCCACGCCGUAAACGGUGGGAACUAGGUGUUGGCGACAUUCCACGUCGUCGGUGCCGCAGCUAACGCAUUAAGUUCCCCGCCUGGG
rnacentral:rRNA from 1 species